rnacentral:rRNA from 1 species
CCUGGUAGUCCACGCCCUAAACGAUGUCUACUAGUUGUCGGGUCUUAAUUGACUUGGUAACGCAGCUAACGCGUGAAGUAGACCGCCUGGGGAGUACGGUCGCAAGAUUAAAACUCAAAGGAAUUGACGGGGACCCGCACAAGCGGUGGAUGAUGUGGAUUAAUUCGAUGCAACGCGAAAAACCUUACCUACCCUUGACAUGGCUGGAAUCCCCGAGAGAUUGGGGAGUGCUCGAAAGAGAACCAGUACACAGGUGCUGCAUGGCUGUCGUCAGCUCGUGUCGUGAGAUGUUGGGUUAAGUCCCGCAACGAGCGCAACCCUUGUCAUUAGUUGCUACGAAAGGGCACUCUAAUGAGACUGCCGGCGACAAACCGGAGGAAGGUGGGGAUGACGUCAAGUCCUCAUGGCCCUUAUGGGUAGGGCUUCACACGUCAUACAAUGGUAUAUACAGAGCGCCGCCAACCCGCGAGGGGGAGCUAAUCGCAGAAAGUGUAUCGUAGUCCGGAUUGUAGUCUGCAACUCGACUGCAUGAAGUUGGAAUCGCUAGUAAUCGCGGAUCAGCAUGUCGCGGUGAAUACGUUCCCGGGCCUUGUACACACC